rnacentral:rRNA from 1 species
AGGGCCCUACGGGAGGCAGCAGUGGGGAAUAUUGCGCAAUGGACGAAAGUCUGACGCAGCGACGCCGCGUGAGGGAUGAAGGUUUUCGGAUCGUAAACCUCUGUCAGGAGGGAAGAAAGCGCAUGGCGCCAAUCAGCCAUGCGUUGACGGUACCUCCAAAGGAAGCGCCGACUAACUCCGUGCCAGCAGCCGCGGUAAUACGGAGGGCGCGAGCGUUAAUCGGAAUUACUGGGCGUAAAGCGCACGUAGGCUGUUGUGUAAGUGGGGGGGGUAAUCCAACGGCUCAA